AGGUCAGGGCCCUCCACAGGGUACUUGGAGUCAAACAGACAGGCCUGGAUGAGAUCUUUAAGGUCAGGGCCCUCCACAAGGCUCACAAAAUCAUUUUAGACCCAAGCCACCCAAGUCCUGUACCCGGACUGUGAACUACUUCCCUCUGGGCGCAGGUAUAGAGCAACCCUCAGCAGGAAAAACACAACUAGACAACCAUUUGUGCCAGGUGUGAUAUCCCUCCUAAAUAGCUUGGGCUAAUGUUCCUAUCGACUGACAAAGUCAGUAAGUAAGUGUUUCCUUUAUUUUGGCAGUGACCUGUAUACUCUUAUUCAUUAUGAUCUAAAAUGGGAAACUGAUCCUAGAUCAGCACUCCUACUCUGAGAUGCUUUGUGAAUACAGGCCUGGGGUUGUGAUUUGCAUUGUGAUAUCGUGUCAUUCAACCCACAGCUUAAGGCGGCCACAACCUUGGAGGCUGCUAGUGAGGUCAUGGAGGAAGAGUCUUCAAUUCUGCAUCUGCUGGGGGUCCUCAGCCCUGUCCAGACAUGGGAGGAUAGGGAAGACAUUGUGCGGUUUGCUGUGAGGGGCUAUUUGGAUGUUUGGUUGUCAUGUGGACCAGAGGACUGGCUACUCUGGGCUUGCUAGAGGCAUCCUGCUGUAUUCAAGCAGAUGUUACUAGCCAGACCUCUCUCUGCAGUAGACCUCACGCUCUUCCACGUGAACUUCUCAGCCCCCGGUAGUGAUGAGAGAAUAGCUGAGAACAUAUGGCUACUGGAGGGACUGGCUUAUUGGGGUGGAGUGUAAGGAAAAUGUCAUCAAUCUUCAAUGCAACUGAUUCAUCAUCAUGUUUCAGGGAUGUUUUUUAGUCCAGGACAAGGCUGAAUCUGUGUCCUGGAAACAGGCCUAAUAGAGGAGAUCAAGGAGAGAAUGUUUUUAUAUAUGAAUAGUAAUGCAUUAUGUUUAGGAGAAGUACGUCAGCCUCUCAAGAUUCAUCCUAGGUCAUAUUGUCUUUGUUUGUGCUUCUGGUGUUUGUGUCUGGCCGGGGGACACACACUGAGCUUCCCCACACAGGCCACUAUGGAGUUCCCACACACUCGGGGACACACACACACACACACACACACUCCAGACGUAGAGGAGUCCAUGACCUCAGGCAUACUCCAGACGUAGAGGAGUCCAUGACCUCAGGCAUACUCCAGACGUAGAGGAGUCCAUGACCUCAGGCAUACUCCAGACGUAGAGGAGUCCAUGACCUCAGGCAUACUCCAGACGUAGAGGAGUCCAUGACCUCAGGCAUACUCCAGACGUAGAGGAGUCCAUGACCUCAGGCAUACUCCAGACGUAGAGGAGUCCAUGACCUCAGGCAUACUCCAGACGUAGAGGAGUCCAUGACCUCAGGCAUACUCCAGACGUAGAGGAGUCCAUGACCUCAGGCAUACUCCAGACGUAGAGGAGUCCAUGACCUCAGGCAUACUCCAGACGUAGAGGAGUCCAUGACCUCAGGCAUACUCCAGACGUAGAGGAGUCCAUGACCUCAGGCAUACUCCAGACGUAGAGGAGUCCAUGACCUCAGAAAGUACUCCAGACGUAGAGGAGUCCAUGACCUCAGAAAGUACUCCAGACGUAGAGGAGUCCAUGACCUCAGGCAUACUCCAGACGUAGAGGAGUCCAUGACCUCAGGCAUACUCCAGACGUAGAGGAGUCCAUGACCUCAGGCAUACUCCAGACGUAGAGGAGUCCAUGACCUCAGAAAGUACUCCAGACGUAGAGGAGUCCAUGACCUCAGGCAUACUCCAGACGUAGAGGAGUCCAUGACCUCAGAAAGUACUCCAGACGUAGAGGAGUCCAUGACCUCAGAAAGUACUCCAGACGUAGAGGAGUCCAUGACCUCAGAAAGUACUCCAGACGUAGAGGAGUCCAUGAGCUCAGGCAUACUCCAGACGUAGAGGAGUCCAUGAGCUCAGGCAUACUCCAGACGUAGAGGAGUCCAUGAGCUCAGGCAUACUCCAGACGUAGAGGAGUCCAUGAGCUCAGGCAUACUCCAGACGUAGAGGAGUCCAUGAGCUCAGGCAUACUCCAGACGUAGAGGAGUCCAUGAGCUCAGGCAUACUCCAGACGUAGAGGAGUCCAUGACCUCAGAAAGUACUCCAGACACUCAUGCUGGCUUGAGAAGCCUCAGUGGAGAAACCAGGUAGACUAAGACAGUGAGCAGGUCAAUGCCUCAGACAUCUAAGAACAAGACGGCUGUUUGGUCCUUGCAACGUGUCCCUCCAGUUAAAGAUCAGGUGUCAGUCUGACUGUUUCUUUAUUAUCUCUGCAUUAUAUCUGGGCAGUCCCAGGUUCACUAUCUACAGCAUGUGAAGUUUAUCCAGGGUGGUCCUCCUGAGAAACAAACUACAGACACAAAACGAGAUGCUGUCACCUUCACCCUGACUGGGGGUUCCGUUCUGGAACACUUUGUUGUUGACACAUCUGGCAUGCUAAAGUUCUGUAGAUAAUAGCCCCUGUGCCAGAGGGCCAAAGAGGGAUCCACAUGUUUCAGCUUAUUGAUUACUGUUUUGGUGACUAACUUUUAUUCAUGGCUGUGAUUACUACAUUUGUUAUAGUCCCUGUAUUUUAUUCAUGUCUGUUUGUGUCUGUCAGAGGUACUCAGUGGCUUUUCCAUGUCACUUACGUAAUUCUGAUUAUGUAAAUAGUUAAGCAACGAUGGUGGAAACAUGACCAUAUCACCCACAUUAAACCACAACACAAACCUCCAAAUAAAUUAACUUGAAGUAAUUUGUAUUUAUUGAAUGAAUUUGAGCUCUUUAUUACAUCAUGUUAAUGCCUACGUGUUCAGGCGCCUGAAGCAGGAGGGAACAACACUCGGUUUGACACAAUUGCAUACAUUUUAUAUAAUCUUCAAAUUCACUUCUAAUUCUAUCUACAAUAACUGAAGUCCUAUAGUUUAGUGUUUUCAUAGAACCAGUCAAAUUUCACAACUGUACAAGCUGAGAUUGCUACAUACAUUUGACUUUCCAAUGAAUGAUGCUAUUGAUUCUUGACAAAUCUAACUUAUACACUGAGUGUACAAAACAUUAUACACACCUGCUCUGUCCAUGACUGACUGACCAGGUGAAUUCAGAUGAAAGUGCAACUCAAUAUAAGGUAGUCGUUCUUAAUGUUUUGUACACAGUAUAAAUGCCUCAUGAACUUCAACUGUAGAUUCCCAUCUGAACUGAAAAUAUAACCUUUUUAUAAUCUGUUGUUUGUAAACAAUAUAAUUGUUUUAAAAAACACUUAUAGCCUCAAAACAUGGUUAAGACUAUAAUGUUGAUCUCAAUGAUGUUCGGUCCUUGCAUCCAUAGCUAUAUCUCUUCUUUUGAGAGUGUUUACAUUUCUUUAGCCCCGUCCCGCAGCGUUUUACCAAAUCAGAGACGGGGCAAAAACGUUUGUUUGAAAUGCGGAUUGCUCCUUUAAUCCACCAUAAAGCUGCAGACAAACAUAUAUUACAUGUCCGUGCCCAUACCCACAAUACCAUAAUCCAAUCAUACUGCAUUUUAGGUAACACACUUACAAAUAGGAUCAAAGGAGCAUACCAAAUUAUACAGAAAUAGCCAGUGAUAUCCCAGUGCCAUGCACAUCAAAAUAGUCUGACUACUGUAUAGCCUAACUACAAUUCAAUCAGGUAUUAUGACCAAUGUGCCUCUAGUACAGUGUCUGUCUCCAUGAUAUCUGACUCUAGUCUCAUGUUACACCAGAGAAUCUGGCUGGUAAUAUGACUGUGAAGAAAGAGAGAACAUGACCCACAAUAUAUAAAGCACUUCAGAGCUGCAGUAUACUAGGCUACAUGCAGGCCAUUCUUUAUUCUGAGAAUGGCUUUAGCGCUCAAAAUGACCAGAGAGCACAGUAGCACUGACCAUGGCAUGAGGGAGUUCAUUGGAGACUACCCCGACGGUCGGUUGAGGUCAAAGUCCCCUUUCACACUGUCGGCGCCACUGAAGCAGUCAAGGAGCGUCGGAAAGCCUGAGCAAACGGAUAAUGGAAUGGUCUGUGUUCAUUUUCCCAUUAUGUUGAAAAGCCCCUAGUAUCCUCGUGUGCUGUUAUCGUUUUUCCAAGGGUUUUAAGAAAACUACAACCAAGAGAACCUUUCUAUGUUUAAAAAGGGCCCUAGCAGAAUAAUUCUAUUCCAUACAUUUAAUGAUAGAUGUACUGGAAUGUAAUGUACUGAAUUGGAUAAUCCAUUCAUGGACCCUCAUGUUUGUUUACAACGUCCCCUAAGAAGCAUAUUUGUAUGUUCUCAUUAUUGAAAUACCCUGGCUAAUUAGAUCAAUAAAAGAAACAAUAUUGUGAUAAUUAUUUAAGUGUGGUAGUAGAGUCAACAGCAAAAAAAAAAA